rnacentral:lncRNA from 1 species
AUAAGGAUUAAUUUCAAAGAUAUGGUGAGUAAAUAUUUGUUUAUAAUAUGAACCUGUUGAUACAACAUGUCUUGUUACAAUUAGAUGAUAUACAUGAAUACAUACACAACAGAAAUUACAUGUAGGGAGUUGAGAGCAGUGUACAUAUUAUUAUUCAAUCAGUAUCAAAGAGGUCAUUGCACUGACCUGACCACGCAAAAUAUAUAUUUAUAUACAAAAAAUGUAACACAUAGUAGAAAAAGCUUCGAUUUUCGUAUUCGGUUUAAGAUAUUUGAGCAAAAAUUGCAU